rnacentral:rRNA from 1 species
UACGGAGGGUGCGAGCAUUAAUCGGAUUUAUUGGGCGUAAAGGGCGCGUAGGCGGGGAUGUAAGUUAGGUGUGAAAUCCCGGGGCUCAACCUCGGAACAGCACAUAAGACUGCAUUUCUGGAGGAUAGGCGGAGAAAAUGGAAUUCCACAAGUAGCGGUGAAAUGCGUAGAUAUGUGGAAGAACACCAGUGGCGAAGGCGGUUUUCUAGCUUAUACCUGACGCUGAGGCGCGAAAGCAAGGGGAUCAAACAGG